CCUACGGGCGGCAGCAGUGGGGAAUAUUGGGCAAUGGGCGCAAGCCUGACCCAGCAACGCCGCGUGAAGGAAGAAGGCUUUCGGGUUGUAAACUUCUUUUAAGGGGGAAGAGCAGAAGUCGGUACCCCUUGAAUAAGCCACGGCUAACUACGUGCCAGCAGCCGCGGUAAUACGUAGGUGGCAAGCGUUGUCCGGAUUUACUGGGUGUAAAGGGCGUGCAGCCGGAGAGACAAGUCAGAUGUGAAAUCCACGGGCUCAACCCGUGAACUGCAUUUGAAACUGUUUCCCUUGAGUGUCGGAGAGGUAAUCGGAAUUCCUUGUGUAGCGGUGAAAUGCGUAGAUAUAAGGAAGAACACCAGUGGCGAAGGCGGAUUACUGGACGAUAACUGACGGUGAGGCGCGAAAGCGUUGGGAGCAAACAGGAUUAGAUACCCCUGUAGUC
rnacentral:rRNA from 1 species